rnacentral:rRNA from 1 species
UACGUAGGUGGCAAGCGUUUCCGGAUUUACUGGGCGUAAAGAGCGCGCAGGCGGUCGUUCAAGUCGCGUGUGAAAGCCCCCGGCUCAACUGGGGAGGGUCACGCGAUACUGAUCGACUCGAAGGCAGGAGAGGGUAGUGGAAUUCCCGGUGUAGUGGUGAAAUGCGUAGAUAUCGGGAGGAACACCAGUGGCGAAGGCGACUACCUGGCCUGUUCUUGACGCUGAGGCGCGAAAGCUAGGGGAGCAAACGGG